GAUGAACGCUGGCGGCGUGCCUAAUACAUGCAAGUCGAGCGAACGGACGAGAAGCUUGCUUCUCUGAUGUUAGCGGCGGACGGGUGAGUCACACGUGGAUAACCUACCUAUAAGACUGGGAUAACUUCGGGAAACCGUAGCUAAUACCGGAUAAUAUUUUGAACCGCAUGGUUCAAAAGUGAAAGACGGUCUUGCUGUCACUUAUAGAUGGAUCCGCGCUGCAUUAGCUAGUUGGUAAGGUAACGGCUUACCAAGGCAACGAUGCAUAGCCGACCUGAGAGGGUGAUCGGCCACACUGGAACUGAGACGCGGUCCAGACUCCUACGGGAGGCAGCAGUAGGGAAUCUUCCGCAAUGGGCGAAAGCCUGACGGAGCAACGCCGCGUGAGUGAUGAAGGUCUUCGGAUCGUAAAACUCUGUUAUUAGGGAAGAACAUAUGUGUAAGUAACUGUGCACAUCUUGACGGUACCUAAUCAGAAAGCCACGGCUAACUACGUG
rnacentral:rRNA from 1 species